rnacentral:tRNA from 1 species
CGGAGCGUGGCGCAGUCUGGUAGCGCACUUGUCUGGGGGACAAGGGGUCCCCGGUUCGAAUCCGGGCGCUCCGACCA